rnacentral:rRNA from 1 species
GACGAACGCUGGCGGCGUGCUUAACACAUGCAAGUCGAACGAUGAACCAGGGCUUGCCCUGGGGAUUAGCGGCGAACGGGUGAGUAACACGUGGGCAACCUGCCCCAGACACCGGGAUAACCUCUCGAAAGAGUGGCUAAUACCGGAUACGACCACUUUGGGCAUCCAACGGUGGUGGAAAGGAUUCUGGUCUGGGAUGGGCCCGCGGCCUAUCAGCUUGUUGGUGGGGUAAUGGCCUACCAAGGCGACGACGGGUGGCCGGCCGGAGGGGGGAACCGGCCACACUGGGACUGGGACACGGCCCAGACUCCUACGGGAGGCAGCAGUGGGGAAUAUUGCGCAAUGGGCGAAAGCCUGACGCAGCGACGCCGCGUGAGGGACGAAGGUCUUCGGAUUGUAAACCUCUUUCAGCAGGGACGAAGCGAAAGUGACUGUACCUGCAGAAGAAGCACCGGCUAACUACGUGCCAGCCGCCGCCGUAA